rnacentral:rRNA from 1 species
UACGUAGGGUCCGAGCGUUGUCCGGAAUUACUGGGCGUAAAGAGCUCGUAGGUGGUUUGUCGCGUUGUUCGUGAAAACUCACAGCUCAACUGUGGGCGUGCGGGCGAUACGGGCAGACUAGAGUACUGCAGGGGAGACUGGAAUUCCUGGUGUAGCGGUGGAAUGCGCAGAUAUCUGGAAGAACACCGGUGGCGAAGGCGGUGGUCUGGGGGCAAAAACUGACGCUGAGGAGCGAAAGCAUGGGGAGCGAACAGGAUUAGAU